rnacentral:snRNA from 1 species
GGAUGUGAAGGCAAUUUAGCUGUGAUACCCAUUAUUCCACUGAUUGCCAGGGUUGACUUGGCUGAUCUGCCUGGCCAGGCAGGGAUCCCUUUCCUCCUUCUCCACUUCACCUGUGUGUCCCCCCAAAGCUGUGUGCUUGAUGGAAGAGGAUGACAAUCCCAGAUAGGAGUUACCAUUCCUUGGUCAAGGGUAUAAGAUAGCUGCACGCCCCUGCAAAAACCUCCAGGGAGGAUUUACUGACCAAGGUCAGGUAAGACAGUGCCAUUUUCUCAGCCCUGGUGCACAAGCCAAGGACAGAGGGCAGAUCAAUAGAAUAUCUACUCAUUAAAAGAAAAGGUACAUUAUUCUUCAUAU